rnacentral:rRNA from 1 species
GACGAACGCUGGCGGCGUGCUUAACACAUGCAAGUCGAACGGAAAGGCCCUGCUUUUGUGGGGUGCUCGAGUGGCGAACGGGUGAGUAACACGUGAGUAACCUGCCCUUGACUUUGGGAUAACUUCAGGAAACUGGGGCUAAUACCGGAUAGGAGCUCCUGCUGCAUGGUGGGGGUUGGAAAGUCUCGGCGGUUGGGGAUGGACUCGCGGCUUAUCAGCUUGUUGGUGGGGUAGUGGCUUACCAAGGCUUUGACGGGUAGCCGGCCUGAGAGGGUGACCGGCCACAUUGGGACUGGGAUACGGCCCAGACUCCUACGGGAGGCAGCAGUGGGGAAUAUUGCACAAUGGGCGGAAGCCUGAUGCAGCAACGCCGCGUGCGGGAUGACGGCCUUCGGGUUGUAAACCGCUUUCGCCUGUGACGAAGCGUGAGUGACGGUAAUGGGUAAAGAAGCACCGGCUAACUACGUG